AUUACUCAAGUUACUGAAGGCUUCAAAGCUUCAUAUGUCCAAUUUGCUGAAGAUGUUAGCAUCAUAGAUAUUUUUAUGCUUAAAAUGUCCAAUUUGGUGCCAAAAAAAAAGCAUUUAUGA